rnacentral:lncRNA from 1 species
GAUUUUGCAACCUGUACUUGGCCUGCAGGUCCCCAGCUUGCCUCCUCUGCACUCGCCUGAACUCUUUGAGGCAUUUACCUCUUCCUUCCUGGGUCAAGAUUUAGUGCAUCGCCUUCCUCAAGGUCGUCGCUCAGGCAACAUUCUUAGGGUUCACAUCCCCCAUAAACGAAGUGUUUCCUUCCCUGCGUGUUGUGCUUACGUCAGCUGGGGACAAGCGUGUGAUGCUGCGUAUCGUCCUCCAUCCGCGCCGGCGUCGGCUGGUCAUCAAGGCUGCUGUUUCCUCCUCAUCCCAGCGGCAAGUCUCUCCAGGAAAUUGCACGGUGGCAUGGAGAGCGUGAUAUUUGUUGGAAGAGACCUGAACUAAAAGGCUCAUAAAUCUCUUAACAAGAACACUGGAAUUUGGAGUGAUAAUUUCCACUUAGCAAUUGGGUGUCGCAAAGAUGUUAAGUAUGACGUGUCAUCUAAUAAAAAAUUUUAAAAGUUUUUCUACCCGAUGAAC